rnacentral:piRNA from 1 species
UCCUUGUGCAAGGAUUCCUUAGAUGGCAGG